ACUCAAAUGAAUUGACGGGGACUUGCACAAGCAGAGGAUUAUGUGGUUCAAUUCGAUGGUAAACGAAAAACCUUACCAAGGUUAGAAAUGUAUUCGAAGAUUUAGGGAAACUUAGAUCGUCGCAAGACGGAUGCACAGGUGAUGCAUGGCCGUCGUCAGUUCGUGGUUUGAACUGUUCCCUUCAGUGGGGUAACGAACGCAACCCUCGUUGCCUGUUAAAUAUUUCAGGCGAGACCGCCCAGCUUUGUGCACAUGAGUACUGAGAGAAAUCGAAGUAUUCGUGAAUACAAAGCUGGGAGGAAGGAGAGGAUGACGCCAGGUCAGCAUGUCCCUUUGAUACCUUGGGCUACACACAUAAUACAAUGGCACAUACAACGGGUCGCGACGGAGUAAUCCUGAGCCAAUCCUUAGAAAGUGUGCCCCAGUUCGGAUUGAGGGCUGCAACUCGACCUCAUGAAGUUGGAUUUGCUAGUAAUCGCGGGUCAGCUAUACCGCGGUGAAUACGUUCUCAAGUCUUGUACACACCGCCCGU
rnacentral:rRNA from 1 species